rnacentral:rRNA from 1 species
AGAGUUUGAUCCUGGCUCAGAAUCAACGCUGGCGGCGUGCCUAACACAUGCAAGUCGAACGGGAGAGUUCUUUUCGGAGAGCGAGUAUAGUGGCGAACGGGUGAGUAACGCGUGGGUGAUCUACCCUUUGGUGGGGGAUAACCCGGGGAAACUCGGGCUAAUACCGCAUGAGCCUAAAGUUGUAAGUAAUUUUAGGGAAAGUUUUCGAAUGCCGAAGGAGGAGCCCGCGUCCGAUUAGCUAGUUGGUGAGGUAAGAGCUCACCAAGGCAACGAUCGGUAGCCGGUCUGAGAGGACGGACGGUCACACUGGGACUGAGACACGGCCCAGACUCCUACGGGAGGCAGCGGUGGGGAAUUUUGGGCAAUGGGCGAAAGCCUGACCCAGCAACGCCGCGUGGAGGAUGAAGGUUUUCGGAUCGUAAACUCCUGUCUAGAGGGACGAAGCAAGUGACGGUACCUCUGGAGGAAGCCCCGGCUAACUCCGUGCCAGCAGCCGCGGUAAUACGGGGGGGGCAAGCGUUGUUCGGAAUUACUGGGCGUAAAGGGCGCGUAGGCGGUUUCGGAAGUCAUGGGUGAAAGUCCUCGGCUCAACCGAGGGAUUGCCUGUGAAACCACGGGACUGGAGUGCUGGAGAGGGAAGUGGAAUUCCCAGUGUAGCGGUGAAAUGCGUAGAUAUUGGGAGGAACACCUGCGGCGAAGGCGGCUUCCUGGACAGACACUGACGCUGAGGCGCGAAAGCCAGGGGAGCAAACGGGAUUAGAUACCCUGGUAGCCCACGCUGUAAACGAUGUCAACUAGCCGUUGGGAGCUUUAAUGUUCUUAGUGGCGCAGCUAACGCGAUAAGUUGACCGCCUGGGGAGUACGGCCGCAAGGUUAAAACUCAAAGGGAUUGACGGGGGCCCGCACAAGCGGUGGAGCAUGUGGUUUAAUUCGAUGCAACGCGAAGAGCCUUACCAGCCCUUGACAUCCUGCGAACUUUCCAGAGAUAGAUUGGUGCCUUCGGGAACGCAGUGACAGGUGCUGCAUGGCUGUCGUCAGCUCGUGUCGUGAGAUGUUGGGUUAAGUCCCGUAACGAGCGCAACCCUUGUCCUCAGUUGCCAGCGGUUCGGCCGGGAACUCUGGGGAGACUGCCGGUGAUAAACCGGAGGAAGGUGGGGAUGACGUCAAGUCAUCAUGGCCCUUAUGGGCUGGGCUACACACGUGCUACAAUGGCCGGUACAGAGGGCAGCGACCCCGCGAGGGUGAGCGAAUCUCAUAAAACCGGUCGUAGUCCGGAUCGCAGUCUGCAACUCGACUGCGUGAAGUCGGAAUCGCUAGUAAUCGCGAAUCAGCAUGUCGCGGUGAAUACGUUCCCGGGCCUUGUACACACCGCCCGUCACACCAUGGGAGUGGGUUGCAAAAGAAGUGGGUAGUCUAACCUUCGGGAGGACGCUCACCACUUUGUGAUUCAUGACUGGGGUGAAGUCGUAACAAGGUA